GGAGGAAUACCCAAGUCUGGCUGAAGGGAUCGGUCUUGAAAACCGACAGGCGUUCACAGCGCGCGCGGGUUCAAAUCCUGCUUCCUCCGCCA
rnacentral:tRNA from 1 species